UCUUGUCAGUACAGCCCGGUGAUGAACUGAGCUGUUGGGUGAUCUCCUCCAUCCAUGUUUGGACGCUAAAGCGAGAAUCCUCCGGAUGCGCUGUAACCGGGGCCUUCAUAGCACAGUUUAUGACGCACCGAUUAGUUUUACAUAGCUUACCAAGACAAGACAUGGUGCUUUCUAUGGAUUUUUGGAACGUGGUGGCAGGUUUAGGAGGGAGGCUGAAGCGCUGAUGAGUCUUAGAGAGGGCAGAGGCACCUGGGAGCUGUACCGCUGGCAUCCCUGACCUCACUGGCAAUCCUGAACCAACGGCUGCAGAAUUCUCUACAGCACAGAAUGAAGAAUGAAGAGGAGGAUGAAAGGACUGGGAGUGGGAGGAGAGGCGAGCACCAGGAGGGAGAUGGAGAGAUGGAGAGACAGAGAGGUGGAGGGCUGAGAGCAGGGCGGAACCUGGAGCUUGGCUUACUCGUCCAGGACCACAGGAGGCUCUCCGUCUCCCUGCCUCCAGCCCGACCGCGGCACCGCCGGGGUCCGCGCGCAGAUUGGAGGCCAGGCGAGGUGCUCCCUCGGUGGGCUGCAGAGGUGGAGCUGGAUCCCCCCAGCUCUCCACCCAUGUGGAGCGGUGAAGCAAGCAGAGAUCAAUACGGAGAGAGAGGCCUCCACCACACUGCUCCACUGUAGCCUCCAGCACUGAAGACCCCAAGACCUCCAGAGCACGCUGCUGCCAAACACACACACACACACACACACACACACACACACACACACCAACACACAAGACUGUAGAAGUGUGCACACACACAGAGAGAGACUUGAGAACACACAUCUUACUCCCAAAUCGGUCUUUGUGUAGUGUUGAAGACUUCGCCAAAGGCAUUUUCUAUGAUCAGCUCUGUAACCAUCCACAUUUUGCAAAAUUCAUAAUGCCUCCUGAAAAUGCCUUUGUGUGCUGGCAAGUAGAAACUAACACACAAGAACAACACUCCAGAAAUAAACUCCUCAAGUUCUCCCCGUGGGCACACCAAAGUGUUAAAGUUCACACUGAGGUUGAGCCCAUUUGUGCGAGUUGCUGUACCGGACCACUCGUGUGUGAGUGUGUAGGCACGCCAAACCUCAAACCAUCACCAAGAGUCCAGAAGUCCACCCAGAGCAUCGCCUGCCCAGAGUAGAGCCCAAGAGGAGCACUCGAUACUGACCAGGCGGAGGACAGGAUGACGGACAGAAGCUCUUACAGUCUGAGGUUGCUGAGAGAGUGCAGGUGGCACUAGAGAUUCCCAGAGGAAUAUGUCCAGUCUGAGAGGUGUCUGCCUGGGCCUGCUUUACAGCAAACUACCACAGAAAAAAUGCACUAAUUCCAUCAAACAACCAUCUCAGCACUGCAACAAAAAUGGUGGAUUCCAACUGCUUACAUGAAGAAGUCCAGACAUGUACAAAAACACGCCUCUGUGUAGGCCUACUGAACUCCUACCUGGCAAUCUGUGUAUUGGCCUCAAACGUCUCUGGAUACAUUAAAGAAUCUGCUAGGUGUGAACAGUUUCUCCACUUUCCUCUAAAUCUAAAUCCUGUACUGGAUAUGAACUGGCUGGUUUGUUGCUGAGGUGAUCAUCAUCUGCUGAAGGGGAGAUGGGUAAGUAAAGGUAAGUAAAUUAUAUACUACAUCUGUCAUGAAAUAAGAAACCAUCAGGUAAUCAGUAAAGCAAAAAAAUUCACAACGUGUAUUGAUUUAAACAUAUCAUAGCAAAACAUAUAAUAUCCCAGAAUCAACAUAUUAGUCUUCUUGUUAUUAGAAUGUGGGUCCAAAAUAAUCAGACAUUUGACCCCAAUUUUAAAUGCUGUGAACCUACAGACCUGGUAGGCUAUAUAAGACAGAAAAACACCACCUCAUUUUACAGCAUUUUAUUGCCAUCAUUGGUUUAGUCUUAACUUUUUCUUUGCAUGUUUUAAAAAUUGUUUAAUUGUUUUCUUCAUUCACACUGAACUAUAUUUAAAAUGUGUCUGUUUUUGAAGUGGUAUAUCUGUGCUAUUUUUUUUCAAUAAAGUGACCGAAAAUGGAA